UUUAUUUUUAGGAUUUUGAUCUUUUGGGAUUUCAGCAUUUGGGAUUAUGGCUUUCAGGAAUGUGUCACUCAGGAUUAUGGUUGUCUCCCAUUCUGGAGAAAACGCCAACAUCUGGGGAGGAGACACACAACAAACAAAAUAAAUACAUGAGAUGUAAGCGGCAUCUGGUGGCAGGCGCUAUGGAGAAAACCGAAACAGGAUGGGGCGCAGGAGUUCUGGGUGAGGGAGGAUGAGCAAUGGCUGUGACUAGUUUCCAGAGAAGGCUGCGCUUAGACGCUGCGAAGCAAGGAGGCAGCCGAAAGAGGAGAUGGAGCGAAUCGUGCCAGCAUCUAGGAGACUGGGCAGGCCAGGUGGCGGCAACAGCAAGGCAAAGACCCUGCGCCCGGAGUCAGGCUGGGACAUGAUACUUUUUUAGAGGAACAAAUCAUACCAUGAGGUGUUGGGAACAUUUUUGUCAGGAACUAUUAGAAGUCAUUUGCAUUGUGGGAGCCUUCUGGGGUUGAAGAAUGAAAGAGGGUGUUUACCCAGAAGCUGUCUGGUUUCGGGACAAAAGCCAAGUGGCGUUUUUUAAUAUCAGGGAAAGUUUGCCUCUCCUUGUUUAUUACACAAACAAAAAGCUUGUUUAAACAGGUUCUUAGAGGAUCGUUUUUGCCAAGUGAUUGUUCUAUGUGGCAUACUGAGUUUGUUGUAGAUCUUUUAAACAGGGCAAAGACUGUGACUCUAGCUCGUGGUUGAACACUCUUGAACCGUGAUCACUGUGCUUAGAGAAACUGGUGUGAAGUGGGAAAUAUACCAGAGUUGGGGUCAUGCUUUGAUUUUGCUCUUUAUAAGUUGUG